rnacentral:rRNA from 1 species
GAUGAGCAUGCGUCCCAUUAGCUAGUUGGUAAGGUAACGGCUUACCAAGGCUACGAUGGGUAGGGGUCCUGAGAGGGAGAUCCCCCACACUGGUACUGAGACACGGACCAGACUCCUACGGGAGGCAGCAGUGAGGAAUAUUGGACAAUGGGCGCAAGCCUGAUCCAGCCAUGCCGCGUGCAGGAUGACGGUCCUAUGGAUUGUAAACUGCUUUUAUACGAGAAGAAACACUCCUUCGUGAAGGAGCUUGACGGUAUCGUAAGAAUAAGGAUCGGCUAACUCCGUGCCAGCAGCCGCGGUAAUACGGAGGAUCCAAGCGUUAUCCGGAAUCAUUGGGUUUAAAGGGUCCGUAGGCGGUUUAAUAAGUCAGUGGUGAAAGCCCAUCGCUCAACGGUGGAACGGCCCUUGAUACUGUUAGACUUGAAUUAUUAGGAAGUAACUAGAAUAUGUAGUGUAGCGGUGAAAUGCUUAGAGAUUACAUGGAAUACCAAUUGCGAAGGCAGGUUACUACUAAUUGAUUGACGCU